CAGCAGCCGCGGGAAAACGAAGGGUGCAAGCGUUACUCGGAAUUACUGGGCGUAAAGCGUGCGUAGGUGGUGGUUUAAGUCCGUUGUGAAAGCCCUGGGCUCAACCUGGGAAUUGCAGUGGAUACUGGGUCACUAGAGUGUGGUAGAGGAUAGUGGAAUUUCCGGUGUAGCAGUGAAAUGCGUAGAGAUCGGAAGGAACAUCUGUGGCGAAGGCGACUAUCUGGGCCAACACUGACACUGAGGCACGAAAGCGUGGGGAGCAAACAGGAUUAGAUACCCCAGUAGUCCCUGUCUCUUAUAC
rnacentral:rRNA from 1 species